rnacentral:rRNA from 1 species
GAUGAACGCUGGCGGCGUGCUUAACACAUGCAAGUCGAACGAAGCACUUUUUUUGACUUCCUCCGGGGGUGAUCAAGUUGUGACUGAGUGGCGGACGGGUGGGUAACGAGUUGGUAACCUGCCUUGUACAGGGGGAAAACAGUCGGAUACGGCUGAUAACACCGCAUAAGCGCACAGCAACGCUCGAAGCAGUGUGAAAAAAAUCGGUGGUAUAAGAUGGAGCUGCGUUGGAGUAGCAAGGGGGUGAGGUAACGGCCUACCAAGGCGACGAUCCAUAGCCGGCCUGUGAGGGUGGCCGGCCACUUUUGGACUGAGACACCGCCCGGACUCCUGCGGGAGGCAGCAGUGGGUAAUAUUGCCCAAUCGGCUGAGUCCUGAUGCAGCUCCGCCGCUUGAGCGAAGUUGUUUUUCAGGAAGUGAAGCUCUAUCAGCAGGGAAGGUAAUGACGGUACCUAAAGAAGAAGCACCGGCUAAAUACGUG